rnacentral:tRNA from 1 species
CUGCUGGUGGCGGGAUGCGCCGGUCCUUUGCCGAAGCACAAUCCAGAUGCCGCCUGGAUCGAGUUCUAUUCCUGGUCGGCGGGC